UGUGCUUGGACAACUUUUAAGACUGUAGUCAGCUUCAAAACCCUGGGUGGUUUUGGUAACCAUUAACCAUAACCAUCAACCAAAACCCUGGAGAAAGGAUCAAGCCCCAGUGACCUCAUUUCUAGUGUGCUCUAGGGCUUUCUGCAGGGCAGGAAUGAGGCAGGUAGGGGAAAAGGGCAUGGAGCUCCUAUGGAAAGAACCUGAUGUAGAAUCAGCAAAGCUGAAAACUGUACAAAUGAACUCUUCCCUGGAUGUCCUCUUUUCUCCAUUCUUCUCUAGGGUAAACAACAACAACAACAACAAGCAAAGGAGAAAGCAACAAAACCCCAGGCCAAUUGCCCACACUGUGAGUCUUUCAGCUCAGUCCACUCUUGUCCCUGGAAGAUGUGUCUGCUGCUGCCUCUGAUCUGUGUGGUCACUGUUUUGUACACUUGAGCUGCAGUGGCUGUGACAUAUCUCAGCAGAACUCUCCACAGCUGAUUCUUGUGCAGGUAGGGCGUGAUUAAUGAUUUUUGCCUCUUGCUAUUCAUUAAAGGCUGUUUGCACUGAAUGUACUGUCAGGUUUUGCAGGAUACACUCAUGCUGAAGAAAGAACAGAUCAGAGACUUGGGAGGCACUAAUUAGAAAUGCCCAUAAGAGGUACUGUGGACACUUGUCUCACUUCUUCUUUCAUUCAGUCAGUCACAUAUUCAUUCAUGCAUUCCUUUACCAAAUACGCAUCAAGUCCUGUGUGCCUGGACUUGUGUAGUUCCUGAGAAAACAAAGAUAAUAAAGGCAUUGACAGGAAACACGUACAUGCCAAGGAAUGGUUGCCAUCUAAGAAUGUGAUUGCUCUAAUGAAGGCCGGAGAAUGCAAAUAUUCUUGAGCACAGGCUACCGGCUUCAUAUCUUGACAUGGUCACUACUCAGUGAAAACAGAGGUGAAAGAGAACCUAAUACUGUCCAGGGAGUCACAAAUGUUUCAGAGAAGGUAGCAUGUAGGUCAAGACUUGAAGAGGAAGCAGUGGAUUGCCAGGAAGACCAGCCAAGUGAGGGCAUUCCAGACAAAGAAGACAACAUAGAUUCUGAAGUUGGAUAGGCCUGAAUCCACUUUAGAAUGCUCCUGCAGAAUAGGACAAAAUGCAAGAUCGGUGUCUCUCUAAUCCCAGGAGCAGGCAACGAUUUCUCUCCUGUGACACCAUGGGGACAAGCCCAGAGAGCAGACCUGUGGGCCUGGGGAGGUGGAAGGAUUUCUGUGAAACUUGUCUGCAGAAAAGCCAGACCUGCCAGGACAUUGCUGCAAAAUGACAGCUGCAUUCACAGAAUCCACUCUUCUCAGUUUGCAGAUGGGCCAUAGACUUUUCAACAAAUAACUGAGGGGUGUUCUGGGAAUUCUACUGCUUCUUUGCUGUGACCUCUGGAGAUUUUCUAAAUUAGAAUCAUUACCUAUAUGGGAAGCCUGCAAUGCAAAUCAAAUGAGAGGCCACGGGCAAGCUAAUGAAGGCCAGUGACCCGGGGAUCUAAUGAAGAUGAACAACUCUGUUAUAGGGAGAGGACGCCACCAUAUCACAUGCUGCUUGGAGCAGGAAAAGAGUUUCAGAUGAUGAGGUCACCAAAGGUCUGAAGAUGAGCCUCCAAAGGAAAUACAGAAGAAUAUACUUUGGAAUGGCUGAGCAAAGUGUGGACAUUGAAACUAAGGAAUGCUAUAGCAAGUGUGCCUAGGAAGUGCCUGGCUAGAACAGUGAAGACGUCAACCAACGCUGCAGCUCUCCGUGAGCCAACAAUAGACUAAGAGUUGGGGGAUCAAAUUUCCCCAUUGAACAAUCAAGAAAAACUUGGAGGCCCACAACUGGAAAACAUUUACUUGAAAAUCACUGAUGCAGGAACUUCUGAGACUGGAGCAGCCCACAUGUAUGCUUAUAAAAGGGAGGCAGAGGGAGACUUGACCAAUAAACAGGACGAUUCGAUGUGAUCAUGGAGGCACCGAAGCUGGAAGAGGCAAAAACAGAUUCUUCCCUAAAGCCCUUGUGGCGCACAGCCAUGCUGAUAUUCUGACUUCAACCCAGGGACACUGAUUUUGGACUUCUGACUCCUGGAACUGUGAGAAAAUGUUUUUCUAUUGUUUUAACCCACCAAGUUUGUGGUAAUUUGUCAUAGUGGCCACAGGAAAUGAAUACAUCCUCCAUUUUUCAGAGUAAAAGCCUGUAAAAUUCAGGGUCCCCAGGUGGUUCAGUUGGUUAAGCCUCCAACUUCAGUUCAGGUCAUGAUCUUGCAGUUGGUGAGU